rnacentral:rRNA from 1 species
AUUGAACGCUAGCGGGAUGCUUUACACAUGCAAGUCGAACGAGUGGAGGACGGGUGAGUAAUAUAUCGGCACGUGCCCAGUAGCGGGGGAUAACUACUCGAAAGAGUGGCUACUACCGCAUACUAUUGGAGCGGCCGAUAUCGGCUAAGCUAGUUGGUGGGGGAAAGGCUCACCAAGGCAACGAUCCGUCGCUGGUUUGAGAGGACGAACAGCCACACUGGGACUGAGAAACGGCCCAGACGCCGACGGGAGGCAGCAGUGGGGAAUUGUGGACAAUGGGGGAAACCCUGAUCCAGCCAUCCCGCGUGUAUGAGAAGGCCUUCGGGUUGUAAAGUACUUUUGGCAGAGAAGCGGUAUCUGCAGAAUAAGCACCGGCUAACUACGUGCCAGCAGCCGCGGUAAUUC